CCAAGAUGUCCUGCCAGGUGGUCGGCCUCCACCCCUACACCUCCCACUGGUUCCUCCUGCUGCCCCACUACAAGGAUGUGCCAAGUAUGCCCUCCAGCCUGCAGUCCUUGGAUGACCCUCCGCGUGCCGUGGAUUAAGGCCAACCUUAACGUGUGCAUAUCUGGUGAGCUCUGGGACCACCCUGCCCUCCCUCACCCACAGGGAUGAGCUUAUCAAGGAGUGGGCGAAACCCUCCACACUCUGACCUGUGUGUUGGCCCGCCAUGUGUACGCCCUCGGCCUCAGCAGUCUGCCGCUGGAGCGCGUCGGUGAACGGCGACUCGUCAGGAGG